GUAUGAUAUUUAAUUAUAUUUUUGAAUAGUAAAAAUAAUUUUUAUUUAAUUUAGUUUAGUAAAAUUUUAUAAUAAAAUAAUUUUAAUAAUAGUUUAAUUGUAUUGAAAAAGAAUGUUGAAAUAAUUUAAAAAGUUAUUAAAUUUAAAGAAUUAUUAAAUUUAAGUAUCUUGUGUAUCAGAGUUUAUUAAAAAAUAAAUAUUAAUUAGUAUUUUUCUCGAAAUUUAAAGAUUUAAUAAUUUAUUUUAGUUAAUGUUUUAUAAUUAUUAAUAAUAAAUUAUUUGAAAUGAAAUGUUAUUCGUUUUAAUUGAUAUCUAGUUUUAUAAGAAAUAAAUUUAAUUUAUUUAUAUUAAUAUUAAUUUUUUAUUUAAUUUAAUUAAUUAAUAUAAUAUAAGAAUAUUUUUUGGGAUAAGCUAAAAAAUAGAUAUUUAAAAAUGAAGUUAUUAAAUUUAUAAAUAUAGGUUUAGAAAUUGAAAUUAUUAAAAAAUUUGUUAUAAUUUAUAAAAUUAAAAAUUUAAUUAUUUAUUAAAGUUUUAAGUAUUUAUUAUAAUAUUAAUUUAAAUUUUUAAAGUUAAGUAAUAAUGAUAAAAUUAGUAUAAUUAAAUUAUUUUAUAUUUAUAAUUUUAUAAAAAUUUUUGAUUUAGGAAUUCGGCAAAAUUAAUAUGUUUGCCUGUUUAUCAAAAACAUGUCUUUUUGUGUUUAAUUUAAAGUCUGGCCUGCCCAUUGAUUUUUUUUUUAAAAGGCCGCAGUAUUUUGACUGUGCAAAGGUAGCAUAAUCAUUAGUUUUUUAAUUGAAAACUAGAAUGAAUGGUUAGACAAAAUAUAUACUGUCUUAAUGAAAUAAAUUGAAUUUUAUUUUUUAGUUAAAAAGCUAAAAUAUUUUUAAAGGACGAGAAGACCCUAUAGAGUUUUAUAAAUAUUUAUUUAUUAUUAAUUUUUUUUUAUAUUAAUUUUAGAUUUUUAUUUUUAGAUAAUAAUUUAUUUAAUUGGGGUGAUUGUAAAAAUUAAGUAUCUUUUACACAUGUUAAUAACAUUAAUUUAUGAAUUUUUUUUUGAUCCAUUUAUAAUGAUUAAUAGAAAAAGUUACCUUAGGGAUAACAGCGUAAUAUUUUUUUAGAGUUCUUAUCGUCAAAAAAGAUUGCGACCUCGAUGUUGGAUUAAGAAAAAUUUUAAAUGUAGAAGUUUAAAUAUUUAAGUCUGUUCGACUUUUAAAUUCUUACAUGAUCUGAGUUCAAACCGGUUUAAGCCAGGUUGGUUUCUAUCCUUAAUAAAUUAUAUUAUUUUAGUACGAAAGGACCAAAUAAUAGAUAUAUUAAUAUUUAAAAUUUGAAUAAAAUUAAUUUAUUUUACUAUUUUUAAG
rnacentral:rRNA from 1 species